rnacentral:lncRNA from 1 species
AUGCUUUGUCCACAUGUCACCUCUUCCUCUGCUCCCUUGGGAACCCAGGCCCAGGAGGAGUUGGCUAUCUCCAUGAUAACAAGGGAGAUGGUGGCCAUCUUUGCCCGCAUGUGCCAACAGGUUGACAAGAGCGAGAUGGAGCUUGAAACAGAGAUCCGCAGACUCAGCGCCAGGAGUGUGUCCAGAUACACUCCAAAACCCUCAGGCAUAAAGCCACUGAUCUGGAGUUACAACUGGAGUCUUUUUCAGCACAGUAUCUGCAGAAUCAACAUUAACUAGAGCAGCAAGAAACUGUGGAUGAGUAAGACUGUCCUCCAGUGUUCAGUACUGGAACAACACAAUGCCUGCUGAAUGAAAAAUUACACGGAAUCUAAAAGACUUAUAUCAGUUCAGUAUUUCAGACAGCCUCAGUAAACCAGAUUUCUUACUGACAAACACCUGCUAGUAGCAAAUUAUGUGUAGA